rnacentral:rRNA from 1 species
AUACGGAGGGUGCAAGCGUUAUCCGGAGUCAUUGGGUUUAAAGGGUUCGCAGGCGGCGUAUUAAGUCAGUGGUGAAAUCCCGAGGCUCAACCUCGGAACUGCCAUUGAUACUGGUAUGCUAGAGUAUAGUUGGCGUUGGCGGAAUGUAUCAUGUAGCGGUGAAAUGCUUAGAUAUGAUACAGAACACCGAUCGCGAAGGCAGCUAACGAAACUAUAACUGACGCUCAGGAACGAAAGCGUGGGGAGCGAACAGAAUUAGAAACCCCAGUAGUCC